rnacentral:rRNA from 1 species
UACGGAGGAUGCGAGCGUUAUCCGGAUUUAUUGGGUUUAAAGGGUGCGUAGGCGGGCAUUUAAGCCGGCGGUCAAAUGUCGGGGCCCAACCCCGGCCUGCCGUCGGAACUGGGUGCCUUGAGUGAGUGAGAAGUAAGCGGAAUGCGUGGUGUAGCGGUGAAAUGCAUAGAUAUCACGCAGAACGCCGAUUGCGAAGGCAGCUUACCGGCGCUCAACUGACGCUGAGGCACGAAAGUGCGGGUAUCGAACAGG